rnacentral:rRNA from 1 species
UUCUGCCCAAUGAUUAAUUUUAAAUGGCUGCAGUAUAUUGACUGUGCAAAGGUAGCAUAAUAGUUAGUCUUUUAAUUGGAGACUUGUAUGAAUGAAUACAUGAGAAAUUUUUUUUAUUAUAAUUAUUUUUAUAAUUUAAUUUUUAGGUAAGAAAGCUUAAUUACUUUUUUGGGACGAGAAGACCCUAUAGAACUUUAAUUUUUAAUUUUAUAAAUUAUUUUGGUUAUUUAUUUUUUUUAUCCUUUUGAAAUUUUUUAUUGGGGUGAUAAAUAAAUAUAACUUUAUUUUUUUUGUUCAUUAGUUUAUGAUUAGUCUGAUCCUGUAUUAAUAGAUUAUAAGAUAAAGUUACCUUAGGGAUAACAGCGUAAUUUUUAUGGAAAGUUCAUAUUUAUAUAAAAGUUUGCGACCUCGAUGUUGAAUUAAGAUAAGAUUAUGGAGCAG